AUUGAACGCUGGCGGCAGGCCUAACACAUGCAAGUCGAACGAGUGGCGGACGGGUGAGUACUGUCUGGGAAACUGCCCGAUGGAGGGGGAUAACUACUGGAAACGGUAGCUAAUACCGCAUACCAUCGGAUGUGCCCAGAUGGGAUUAGCUUGUAGGUGAGGUAACGGCUCACCUAGGCGACGAUCCCUAGCUGGUCUGAGAGGAUGACCAGCCACACGGGGACUAGGACAAGGUCGAUAACGCGACGGGAAGCAGCAGUGGGGAAUAUUGCACAAUGGGCUCAAGCCUGAAGCAGCCAUGCGGCGUGUAUGAAGAAGGCCUUCUGGUUUUAAAUUACUUUCAGCGGGGAGGCGUUACCCGCAGAAGAAGCACCGGCUAACUCCGUCCAAGCAGCCGCGGUAAUAC
rnacentral:rRNA from 1 species